UCCAGGAAGGAUCCCAGUUGGGCUUCUGGAACUUUUCCUGGGGAGGUGGGGGCGGGGUGGAGUCUAGGCACAGGCGCUGCGGAACUUCCCACCCCCGUCAGUUAAGACUUUCUGCUCCAGAGCUCCUUCCAGAAUCCUCAGCUUAGGAGGGUGUGUGUGCGCAUGUGCAAAAGAGAGCCCAGGCAGGAGCCCCAGGAAGGCUUGAGAAGAAUUGGUGGACAGAGUUUGGAGCCAGAGCGAUGGAACUGUCAGGUGGCCUCUGAGAUACCAGAAAUCCAUGGAGGAAAAACAAAGGCAUCCAGCAGAAAGGAAGUCGGCCCAGAAAGAGGACAAUACAGAUGUCUGUCUGGCACCAUCGACAGCACGGCACAGAGGCCAGACUCCAGAAAAAACAGCAGAUGAACUAGAAAGGCAAAACCACUGCCUUAUAGGCAGGUCUAUUGCAACAUCCGCACAACUUAACUUUUACUGAGAGACAGUUGACCUACGGAAGAAUAACAUUAAUUUGCUUACAGAUAUUCUAUUCUAACAGUAUAUGGGUAUUUGUUGUAAGAUCAAGGUUUAUCAUAUACCUGAAAAUUUCAAAUGGUAUUUGUACAAUAUGUAACUUGCAAUUAUUUUAUUGGAAUUGUUCCAUUUUACCCAAAUUUGAUUAAAUAACAAAUUUUGCAAUUGGGAAUGUUAUGACAGUACAUUGGAUACUGUUCAAUUGCAGCGGAAAUUGUUUCUAUUAUCCAAAAUGUAUGCAUGAUAAUUGUCUUAUAUGGUUUAUUUUAUAUUUGCAAGAAGAAAGUAUGUCUUUAUUAGAAUCAGAUUUAUUUAAAAGUCAAUUUUGUUGGAAAUGGCAUUUAAACUUUUAAAAGGAAAAAGGGUGGUAAUGGUAUUCCUAACCAUCUAUCUCUCCUACAUCCCAGAGGGAUAUAGGCUAAUCCUAUGCAAUAAUAGUUUGAAUGUAAUGAUAAGGAUUACAUUGUAUGAUAUACCUGGAUUGGGUUGAAUAUUACCAGGAAAUUAAGACUAUAAGGGACCCAACAGGAUGAUAACAUUGGGUCGAGGGUUUGUUUGUAUUUCUACAGAUAGUGAAAACAUCUGGUCACCCACAAAACACAUCAUACCAUAUGACACAAGACCAGGAAGAGAAGCAGAGGAACAACAUUGUUGACAUCAGUUAGCUGCACACCAGCCACACUCCAGACACACUGGAAGAAACCAUCACUGGUGACUACAAACACACCAAAGACUGACAUUACACUGCUUUUAAUGACAUUUACUAUUAUUCUACUGAUGGACACUUGUCAUGCUGACAUCUAUUGGUCUAUUAUACCUAAACCAAUAUCAAGAAUGUUAACAUGUAUGGGCUAAGCCCCACUUGUGUAUGUUAAUGACACCAGAUAGAUCCCACACUCCAAAGACUUUACCAUGGGAUCAAAAGGGAAUAGCUACAGUUGUUCAGACACUACUGUAUACCUUUCGUUUUAUAUGUCGAAGCUAUAUACUGUCAAAAGGAAUUUAUUUUGUAUGCAUUGUAAAAUUCCUACUUGUAUUGUAAGAAAUGCUGCUAUUAACCAUUGUAUAGGCAUUGGUAUGACUCUAAAAAGAGGAGAUAGAAUUUUUCAUCCACAGCAUAUACCUAGUAACCCUGACAACAGAAAAUUAUGUUUAAAGCAGGAGACACUGAACAGGAAUUUAUAAUGGACAGAUGGUCCUGAUCUAACUCUUAAAAAAGGAUGAGAUGUCUGGCAAAAUGCACUUUGAAAUUUUUAAUUAGGAACCUAAGUUUUUGAAAAUGGUCAUCUACAUAUAUGUAUAUAGAUUAUGUUCCUGACAAUGCCUAUGUAGACAUUAUGUACUAACCACCAUUGGUGUGGUUACAUGUUAAUACCAUUUUUGAUCAUUACUCCUGAAACCCCAUCUUUUUGGGUGAUAUCUUUAUGGGAACUCUUUAAUGCUCUCUCCCACAAGCCCCAGAGUUCAGGCAGGCCGCUGGAUUUGGGGUCUAUCAUCUUCCCCUUCUAAUACUGGAAGAUGUUCUGGUUUGUGGGAAGUCUAGCCUCAGUGGUAAACUGAGUACUCAAGGUUGGACAACCUCUGUGGACGCACAGUUGUUGUCCUUCCUCUGUAGAAUAGGCUAUUCUACACCUACAUGGGACAGAGGCAAAGUAUACACCGAGUUUCCCCUUUUGGAAUAUAUAUUUAAAAAUUGGAUAAAAUUGGCACUAAUAAGCUUGUAGAAAAAGCACAUUGGAUGUUUUACAUGUACAAGGAAUUAAGUUGCAUCAAAUUCUAUAUGAGCAAGAAGCUGUAGAAAUUGCUUCUACAUGAAAAGAAACUUAGGCUUCUAUUAACCCAAAAAUUGGUUUAGUAGAGUGAAUUUUUCAUACAUUGGCAAUGUUAUAUUCUAGGUUAUUAUAUUGAAUGGUUCUUUUAUACAGAAGUAGAGAUUUAAAUAAGGCUGAUAUAAGAAAUAUGCAGCAAGAAGUUGCAAUGUCACUUCAUUAUCGUCAUUCUUGUUAUUUAAACAACAAAUCAGAAUGUAAUGUUUAUGGGAAUUUUGGUACUUGUUAAGAAUUUGCACUAAUUGUUGUAUUUAUAUUUGUGUAAAAAUUUUACAGUGUCAAUCUUGGUCAACAUAGGUUAGUAGUAGUAGUAGCCUCUCGGUAACCGAGGAUGACGAUUUUCAUUGUGCUUUUUCAUCUAUGGUGUAUAGAUGAGUGUGCACAAAGACACUUGUGUGUGAAGGAGAUUUAAGUGGAAAAGUCGUUGCACAGAGACAGUCCCACUCUCGGCAUAGGAAACCUGGGUCCAAUGGCACGAAAAAUCAUUACACCUGGAGACUUCCUCAGCUGCAUUGGAUGGCCGUGUUGUCCUUUGUGCUCCAACACAUAUAUAGGGAUAAUUGGCAUUAAAAUAUCAGCGUCUGGAAAAUCAAAGGUUUUGUUCUUUGAUUCCAAGGCACCUCCCCCCCCCCCCCCAGGUGCAUGGGUAAUUUUCCGAAUUCUCCACACUGAUGGGGAUUUUCACCCUGGGUCUAGCGUGGACAAGCUCCAUUUUUAUAUAUUGUGGUUGAGUAUUUUGUUGUGUAUAUUCAUUUGUCUCAGUUUGAGAACUGUCAUUAUUUUGAUUAGUAUUACGAUUCCUGUGGUUAUUAUAGUAUUUCUAUCAGUCCUAAAGUUGUAAUUUCUGUGAUCAUUAUUAUAGUCAUUUCUAUAGUUAUUAUUUCUAAAGUUGUUAUUUUUUCCCAUAGCCAGUUUUCACAGACCAUCAUUACAUAUUCUCUUUUUCCACAGUAAAGGCAGUUUAUUGAUUUAUCUAUGGAUUCCUGCAAAGGGGGUAUAGUCUCUCCCUGAUUUUUCAGUUUUCUUUUUAAUAUUUUAAUUUCUUUCUCUAAGUCUUCCACUGACUUAGGCCCUCCCCCCCCAUCUUUUUGUAUGGCCUUUAUAAACAUAGACUGCUACUCUCCUCAAUUCUUUGAGGUCCAUAGAGUCCCAGUUUGGGCAGCUUGUUUUAAAGUAGUCUUUUCCUACUGAACAACAAUGCUUAAUGAAUUGUCUACGUAGUUGUCUAAUGUCCCUUUCUCUGGAUUGUUCAAAGUCCAUAUAUAUGUUGCCCACAACAAUAAGUCUGCCCAUAAACUGGGAGGGAGUCUCAUCUAUUUCUUGUUUGGUUGCAUUGACACUAAUGGAGAAUUCGAUUGUACCACAGUGUAUCAGUCUCUGUGUACAAUGUUCUCCUGGUUCUGCUCCUUUCGCUCGGCAUCAAUUCCUGGAGGUUGUUCCAGUCUCCAUGAAAUUCCUCCACUUUAUUAUUCCUUUUAGCACAAUAGUAUUCCAUCACCAACAUAUACCAUAAUUUGUUCAGCCAUUCCCCGAUUGAAGGGCAUCCCCUCAUUUUCCAAUUUUUGGCCUCCACAAAGAGCGCUGCUAUAAAUAUUCUUGUACAAGUCUUUUUCCUUAUUAUCUCUUUGGGGUACAAACCCAGCAGUGCUAUAGCUGGAUCAAAGGGCAGACAGUCUUUUAGCGCCCUUUGGGCAUAGUUCCAAAUUGCCCUCCAGAAUGGUUGGAUCAAUUCACAACUCCACCAGCAAUGAAUUAGUGUCCCAACUUUGCCACAUCCCCUCCAGCAUUCAUUACUUUCCAUAGCUGUCAUGUUAGCCAAUCUGCUAGGUGUGAGGUGAUACCUCAGAGUUGUUUUGAUUUGCAUCUCUCUGAUUAUAAGAGAUGUAGAACACUUCUUCAUGUGCUUAUUAAUAGUCUUGAUUUCUUUGGCUGAGAACUGCCUGUUCGUGUCCCUUGUCCAUUUAUCAAUUGGAGAAUGGCUUGAUUUUUUGUACAAUUGAUUUAGCUCUUUAUAAAUUUGAGUAAUUAGACCUUUGUCAGAGGUUUUUGUUAUGAAGAUUGUUUCCCAAUUUGUUGCUUCCCUUCUAAUUUUAGUUACAUUGGAUUUGUUUGUACAAAACCUUUUUAAUUUGAUGUAAUCAAAAUUGUUUAUUUUACAUUUUGUAACUCUUUCUAAGUCUUGCUUGGUUUUAAAAUCUUUCCCUUCCCAAAGGUCUGACAUGUAUACUAUUCUGUGUUCACCUAAUUUACUUAUAGUUUCCUUCUUUAUGUUCAAGUACUUCCCUUUCUAUCCCCCUCCCUUCUUGUCCCUCCCUCCCUUAUUUUCCCUGUAGUCUUUCUAAAAUUAACCCCCGCCCUCUCACUCUCUUGUACUGCUUCCUUCCCCACCAGACCCUUCUACUCCCCUAUAGGGCACAAAUCUAUUCUCUGCCCCCAAUGAAUUGGAUUGUUUUUCCCUCUUUGAGUCAAUUUAGUUGAGUAUUUCCUGUCUCCAACCUCUUUACCCUUCCAGUGUAUUGAUGUUCUCCCCCCUCUCACCAUGAGCUUCUUUAUGACAUAUAAAUUUACCCCCAUUUAUUUCUU